rnacentral:rRNA from 1 species
UACAGAGACGGCAAGCGUUGUUCGGAUUCAUUGGGCGUAAAGGGUGCGCAGGCGGUCCGGUAAGUCGGAUGUGAAAUCUCAUAGCUUAACUGUGAAAGGUCAUUCGAAACUGCCGGGCUAGAGGGCCGGAGAGGAGACUGGAAUUGUCGGUGUAGCGGUGAAAUGCGUAGAUAUCGACAAGAACACCGGUGGCGAAGGCGGGUCUCUGGACGGUUCCUGACGCUCAGGCACGAAAGCUAGGGGAG